GACUCUCGGCAACGGAUAUCUCGGCUCUCACAUCGAUGAAGAACGUAGCGAAAUGCGAUAGCUGGUGUGAAUUGCAGAAUCCCGCGAACCAUCGAGUCUUUGAAUGCAUGUUGCGCCCUAGGCCACUUGGCCGAGGGCACGCCUGCCUGGGCGUCA
rnacentral:rRNA from 1 species